UACAGAGGGUGCAAGCGUUGCUCGGAAUUAUUGGGCGUAAAGCGCGUGUAGGCGGCAUUGCAAGUCGGGUGUGAAAGCCCUGAGCUCAACUGAGGAAGUGCGCCCGAAACUGCAGUGCUUGAGUACCGGAGAGGGUGGCGGAAUUCCCCAAGUAGAGGUGAAAUUCGUAGAUAUGGGGAGGAACACCGGUGGCGAAGGCGGCCACCUGGACGGAUACUGACGCUGAGACGCGAAAGCGUGGGUAGCAAACAGG
rnacentral:rRNA from 1 species